rnacentral:rRNA from 1 species
CCUACGGGAGGCAGCAGUGGGGAAUAUUGCACAAUGGGCGCAAGCCUGAUGCAGCCAUGCCGCGUGUGUGAAGAAGGCCUUCGGGUUGUAAAGCACUUUCAGCGGGGAGGAAGGCGUUAAGGUUAAUAACCUUGGCGAUUGACGUUACCCGCAGAAGAAGCACCGGCUAACUCCGUGCCAGCAGCCGCGGUAAUACGGGGGGUGCAAGCGUUAAUCGGAAUUACUGGGCGUAAAGCGCACGCAGGCGGUCUGUCAAGUCGGAUGUGAAAUCCCCGGGCUCAACCUGGGAACUGCAUUCGAAACUGGCAGGCUAGAGUCUUGUAGAGGGGGGUAGAAUUCCAGGUGUAGCGGUGAAAUGCGUAGAGAUCUGGAGGAAUACCGGUGGCGAAGGCGGCCCCCUGGACAAAGACUGACGCUCAGGUGCGAAAGCGUGGGGAGCAAACAGGAUUAGAUACCCUAGUAGUC